GGGGCUGCCCCAGCUUGGCCGGGCGAGGAGCGGGGCGCAUGGCGCCGGGCGCACUGCGCGGGGACUGCGAACAAAGGGCCCCCGGCGGCGGCGCGAGGACGGCCGCGCUCGGACCCUGGCCCUGGCCCAGCCCUGGCCCGGCCCCCUCCCCAGGCGCGGCGCCCCCCAGGAGCCGAAAAAUGAGCGGCGCCCUGCUCUGGCCGUUGCUCCCGCUCCUGCUCCUGCUGCUGUCGGCGCGGGACGGCUUGCGCGCCGCACAGCCUCAGGCCCCGGGUUACUUGAUUGCAGCUCCCUCUGUUUUUCGCGCGGGCGUGGAGGAAGUCAUCAGCGUGACCAUCUUUAACUCUCCAAGGGAAGUCACGGUCCAGGCUCAGCUGGUGGCCCAGGAUAAAGGGACAAUCAAACUCAAGGUGCCCACGGGCCUCCGGGGCCAGGCGCUUCUGAAAGUGUGGGGCCGCGGCUGGCAGGCGGAGGAGGGGCUCCUCUUUCACAACCAGACCUCGGUGACCGUGGACGGCCGGGGCGCUUCUGUAUUCAUCCAGACGGACAAGCCUGUGUACAGACCCCAGCACCGAGUGCUCAUAAGCAUCUUCACCGUCUCUCCAAAUCUGAGGCCUGUCAACGAGAAGCUGGAAGCCAACAUCCUGGACCCCCGAGGCUCUCGGAUGAUAGAGUGGAGACACUUGAAGCCGUUCUGCUGCGGCAUCACCAACAUGAGCUUCCCCUUGUCCGACCAGCCUGUGUUGGGAGAAUGGUUCAUUUUUGUUGAAAUGCAAGGCCACGCGUACAACAAGUCUUUUGAAGUUCAGAAGUAUGUGUUGCCCAAGUUCGAGCUUCUGAUUGACCCGCCCCGGUAUAUCCAAGACCUGGACGCCUGUGAGACAGGCACUGUGCGGGCCAGGUAUACCUUUGGGAAACCUGUGGCUGGUGCCUUAACGAUCAACAUGACUGUUAAUGGUGUAGGGUACUACAGCCACGAGGUGGGACGCCCCGUCCUCAGAACAUCCAAGAUCCUCGGCUCCCGGGACUUCGACAUCUGCGUGAGGGACAUGAUCCCAGCGGACGUCCCUGAGCACUUCCGGGGCAGGGUCAGCAUCUGGGCCAUGGUGACCAGUGUGGACGGGAGCCAGCAGGUCGCGUUCGAUGACUCCACCCCCGUGCAGAGGCAGCUGGUGGACAUCCGGUACUCCAAGGACACGAGGAAGCAGUUCAAGCCGGGCCUGGCCUACGUGGGGAAGGUGGAGCUAUCCUACCCCGAUGGCAGCCCAGCUGAGUGGGUGACGGUCCAGAUUAAGGCAGAGCUGACACCAAAGGAUAACAUCUACACCAGUGAAGUUGUGUCCCAGGGUGGACUAGUGGGGUUUGAAAUCCCUUCCAUCCCCACGUCAGCCCAGCACGUGUGGCUGGAGACCAAGUGUCUGCAGUGUUUAUGAAGGAGAAUGGCACAACUGAACCAGUUUGGAGAGAUUAUAUAAAGAAAAAUGCAUUAAGGAAACACUAAUGGAGAUCAUUGUGCAACCCUCUUGAAGUUAGGUGAAGAAGGUCAAGAACAAGGUGUCAGCCAACUUGACAUUUCGGAAAUGGCUGCAUAUCAGAGUUCUCCACUGUUCUCCACACUUACUCUCUCCCUUAUCUCCGAGCUGGUAGCAGAGGAGCCAGCAGAAGACAGCAAGCCCUUGGUAUAGAUAGAGAAGCCAUGGAUGAAAAGAAGCAGGCCUUAAAGACAGAGCAAAGUAACAUAGCAUUCCUCUCUACUAUCAUCCUGUACUGGAUAGGCCCCCACAAAUAAUCCUGUAUUUUGGUAAACCGAUGCUUGAGGAAGACAUGCUAGAGCAAAAACUACAACUCUGGUCCUCUUGGAUAUUUUAGAUAAGGACUUUACCCACAUAAAGAAGGUGUUGCCCUGGGGACUGGCUGAGAGAAAUUACAGACUGUUACUCACUUCAAAAGAAACGGACUGCUACAGUGGUACUUACGUCACCAGAAAGAAACACUUCCACAAAGAAUUUGAUUUGAUGGCAUCAUGUGGACAUAGAACUCUCAUAGUAAUGACCCAACCUGUGUUUCCAGUCAUCCUGAUGAACUCUCAACAAAAUCAGAUUGUUAUACUGUUGUUCUCACUUUACACCGAUAUUUUCUCUUGCUCCUAAAAAAAGUAUCUGGUAUUAAAUAGAAUUCUGUAUCUUAAAAAACUUGCCAUUGAGAAAAAUGAGAAGUAACUGUACAUUUUAAUACUGAAGGUUUUAAUAAAAAAAGCAGUGUGAA
rnacentral:lncRNA from 1 species